rnacentral:rRNA from 1 species
UACGUAGGGCGCAAGCGUUAUCCGGAAUUAUUGGGCGUAAAGAGCUCGUAGGCGGUUUGUCGCGUCUGCCGUGAAAGUCCGGGGCUCAACUCCGGAUCUGCGGUGGGUACGGGCAGACUAGAGUGAUGUAGGGGAGACUGGAAUUCCUGGUGUAGCGGUGAAAUGCGCAGAUAUCAGGAGGAACACCGGUGGCGAAGGCAGGUCUCUGGGCUGUAACUGACGCUGAGGUGCGAGAGCGUGGGGAGCGAACCGG